UGAGAACAAUAGGCAUGGGAGGUA
rnacentral:miRNA from 2 species